GUUCAAUUGUAGCAUAACUCUACACUACAGUGCCUACGUCAUUCCCCUCACUUGGUCACGUAGGCAUUCUAUCAUCUCACAGCGUCAUAAGGAAGCCUUGCGAGACCCUGAACGGAGAAACUAGCAGAGAUCACCAGGACUUCUCAGCUCCAGGACUUGGAAAGAAGUCAGUUCCAGAAGGCAUCAUCCAAGAAGUGGAAAUAUGAGAUACAACCCCAAAACUUGAUAAACAUGAGUGGGUAAACAAGAAGGGAAGAAUUACAGGGUGAGUUAAGUAAACAAAGAAAAGUGCGCAGCUAACUUUAGAAAGUGAAUUGCUCACUAUCUCUGAAAGGGACUUUCCAUAUAGAGCACUAGCCAGGAUUGGUGAAAAUAUAAGUUCAAGGUCUUAUAGAGUUGUGAACGCCUGAAUUAUGUGGACAUUGUCCUUUAGAGAUGGACAAGUCACUGGAUGCAAUAAUAAAAUUGACUUUCUGAAGUAUCUAAGGACAUUUACGACCAACUGGAGGGCUAGUGAAAAGGAGAAGAAAGCACUAUUAUUUUUUUUCUUAAAUGUAAUUGGUAGUCAGCAGUACAUAGAAAUUCAACAUAGAAGAUAAUGCAUGUAGUGUAUGAGGAUGUAUACAGAAAAGGAACAAAGUCCCACAAAUAAUCGUUACUUUCAAGUGAAUUAAUAAAUAACAUAUAUUUAAAAGGACUUUUAAAUAGGUUUUUAAGGCAGCAUUAAGAACAACU